CGGCGGCCCGUACCCUAAACCGACUCAGGUGGUCAGGUAGAGAAUACCGAGGCGUUCGGGUGAACUGUGGUUAAGGAACUCGGCAAAAUGCCCCCGUAACUUCGGGAGAAGGGGGGCCAUGGCUGGUGAUGGAGUUUUCCUCCUGAGCUGGUGGUGGCCGCAGAGACCAGCGAGAAGCGACUGUUUACUAAAAACACAGGUCCGUGCGAAGCCGUAAGGCGAUGUAUACGGACUGACGCCUGCCCGGUGCUGGAACGUUAAGGGGACCGGUUAGCUGCUCUUCGGGGUGGCGAAGCUGAGAACUUAAGCGCCAGUAAACGGCGGUGGUAACUAUAACCAUCCUAAGGUAGCGAAAUUCCUUGUCGGGUAAGUUCCGACCUGCACGAAUGGCGUAACGACUUCUCGACUGUCUCAACCACAGGCCCGGUGAAAUUGCACUACGAGUAAAGAUGCUCGUUUCGCGCAGCAGGACGGAAAGACCCCGGGACCUUUACUACAGCUUGAUAUUGGUGUUCGGUUCGGCUUGUGUAGGAUAGGUGGGAGACUGUGAAGCCUGGACGCUAGUUCAGGUGGAGUCGUCGUUGAAAUACCACUCUGGUCGUGCUGGAUGUCUAACCUGGGUCCGUGAUCCGGAUCAGGGACAGUGUCUGGUGGGUAGUUUAACUGGGGCGGUUGCCUCCUAAAGGGUAACGGAGGCGCCCAAAGGUUCCCUCAGCCUGGUUGGUAAUCAGGUGGUGAGUGUAAGUGCACAAGGGAGCUUGACUGUGAGACUGACGGGUCGAGCAGGGACGAAAGUCGGGACUAGUGAUCCGGCGGUGGCUUGUGGAAGCGCCGUCGCUCAACGGAUAAAAGGUACCCCGGGGAUAACAGGCUGAUCUUCCCCAAGAGUCCAUAUCGACGGGAUGGUUUGGCACCUCGAUGUCGGCUCGUCGCAUCCUGGGGCUGGAGUCGGUCCCAAGGGUUGGGCUGUUCGCCCAUUAAAGCGGUACGCGAGCUGGGUUUAGAACGUCGUGAGACAGUUCGGUCCCUAUCCGCUGUGCGCGUAGGAGUCUUGAGAAGGGCUGUCCCUAGUACGAGAGGACCGGGACGGACGGACCUCUGGUGUGCCAGUUGUUCUGCCAAGGGCAUGGCUGGUUGGCUACGUUCGGGAGGGAUAACCGCUGAAAGCAUCUAAGCGGGAAGCCUGCUUCGAGAUGAGGACUCCCACCUCCAUGAGAGGGUAAGGCUCCCAGAAGACGACUGGGUUGAUAGGCCAGGUAUGGAAGACCGGUAACGGUUGGAGUUGACUGGUACUAAUAGGCCGAGGGCUUGUCCUCAGGUG
rnacentral:rRNA from 1 species